rfam:Dipodomys ordii contig_63328, whole genome shotgun sequence.
GGGAAGAUGGCUCAGUGGUAGAGUGCUUGCCUUGCAUGCAUGAGGCCCUGGGUUCGAUUCCUCAGUACCA